AGAUCAGAAUGGUAAGAAGACCUGGUGAAACUGAAGGUGAAACAACACAGCUCUGCCCUUCUCUGUGGCAUUGGGAAACCAUCACCACCUAAGCUGAGAAAAGGUUGCCAUAGGUUCUUUCUCCGAGGAGGUGGAAGGUUCUGGGGGGCUGGGGGCGGGGGGAAUGGGAGAAGCCACAAUAUCUGCCAUUCCAUCCUCAAUUUGAAUUCCUGUUCAUGUCUCUCAAAACACUUCUUUAAUGGAGUGUAGCUCUUGAAAGGAUCUGACUCCUGUUGGAUAUCAAAUACACAUCUCAAGCCAAACAUAUCAAAUCCCAAAGUCAUUUUUGCCAGGUUUUCCUCUUAAGCAACGAGGCUCAAAUGUUCACCCAGUUACCCAGACCAAAACCAGAUUUUACAGUCAGUGCUUCCACUGUUUCUGGGAGCUCUGCCAUCUACCUUCUCCCUGAGGCACGCUGCUCCUCAGCAUGCCCACAGCCGCCAUCGCUGCCCUAACCCUGCCAUGGUCUAUUGCCCUCUGAAAGGCUGCUUCCAAGCCCUCGUGCUGCUCUGCCUACCCAGCCCCAUCAAAUCAUGACACGCCCACCCAGGUGACACCCCACAUCCUUCAGUCUGUCCUAUCAGUCCUGCGAGAGGCUGCUGGCAUUUUCCUGAGCUGUGUCUCUCCUCUCCCAUGCAGAUGGCCGAUUGUCUGAUGGACCUGUGACCCUGGACCUCUGGCCGUGAGGUCAGGGCGGAAGUCUUCCGUGGAAGAGGGGUCCUCACGCCUGAAUCCCUGUGGCCCUGACAGAUCAGCGUGGGUAAGUGGACGGAAGGUGGCCGUGAUGGGCACUGUAUGCAGAGGACAUGGAUUUACAGGCUCAAGGAGGCUCUCCCCACAGGGCAUCAGGAGUGAGGCAGUAGCCACGCAGAAAUGUGGAGCCUAGCAGGGCUUUUCAAAUUGGAUUGGGCGCAGAAGCGUGUUUGCAGACUCGUAAACAUGGGGUGGGAGAUUGGUAAAACAUUGAUGAUGUUGCAGAGAGAGAGAGACAGAAAGAGGGGAAUGGCUAGAGUCCCAGUGUCUGUUUGAAACGUCAGCAACUAAGAUUAUGUAACUUUUAGUUCUUGACCUGCAUUUGUACCCUUUGGGUCUCCUGGCCCACUUCUGAAGGCACAUCUUUCAAUGUCAUGGGAAGUGGCUGAGCGUGUUAGCUCUGAGUUGUGAAUCUGAUUCUUGGCCAAGUGUUUGUCCAGGAUUCCGACUGGCUUACUGCGGUCCUCACUGCUGGCAUUCAUAGGGGAACAGCAGGGUGUGUUUGUUCAGUAGGAUUAAGCGGCUCUUUGAGGUAGUAGGUAUCCUGGAAGAAUUGGUUUUUGUUUUGUUUUUUUCCCUACAUUUGCAUUUCUGAGGAGGCUGGUAUUUGCUGGCCUGUGGGUACGUGAGGUGAAUUUGUGACUGCCACACAAGCCUCCGUGUUUGUGUCUGUGUGUGCCUUCACUCUCAUGCAUGGACAUACCUGCCUCCAAUCCAAAGGGCUUCACAGCCUGCUGCUCCCCUGCAGCCUUCGUUUGCAUGAUUUCACAUGGGGUCUCAAUUAUUAUCAGUGUUUACCUAAGGGAGGGUCUUAAGGAGUUAGUUCAGGAGAAGCUUUCGGCCCUAAGAAACAGAAAGAAAACCAACACCCACGUUCAGCAAAUGAUCUUUUAUUGUUUUGUUUUCUGUCCAACAUCACUGAGUUAUUUUUAUUCAUUUCCACUGAAGUAUCGUUCACGUGCAAUAUUGCAUGUUUUGGGUGUACAAUAGUUGAUAUAUAAUAUUCUCUGUUACAGGUACACAAUAUAGUGAUUGAUGAUUGUUAAAAGUUAUAACCAUUUAUAGUUAUUAAAAAACAUGGGCUCUAUUCCCUGUGUCGUACAAUAUAUCCCUGCAAGUCCUGUGGACCUCUGAACCCUCAACCCCUGUCUUGCCUCUCUCUGCUCCCAGUGGUAACCACUGGUUUGUUCUCUGUACCUGUGAGUCCAUUUCUUUUUUUGCGAUAUUCACUAGUGUGUUGUAUUUUUUUAGAUUCCACAGGGAAGUGAUCUCAUAUGGUAUUUGUCUUUUUCUAACUUACUUCAUUUAGUAUGAGACUCUCCAGGUGCAUCCAUGUUGCUGUAAAUGGCAUGAUUUCAUUCCUUUUUAUGGCUGAGUAGUAUUCCAUUUUAUAGACGUACCACAACUUCUUUAUCCAUUCAGCUGUUGAUGGACAUUUACGUUGUUUCCAUAUCUUGGCUAUUGUGUACAGUGUUGCCAUGAACAUAGUAAGGGUGUGUGGAUCUUUUCAAGUUAGAAGUGUUGGAGUUUUUUGAAUAUGUAUACCUAGGAGUGGAAUGAUUUGACAAUGACAGUGAGUAAUGUAAACAAUUAAAUAAUUAUAUAUGAAAAUCAUUCCAGGACUUUUGAAAUAAGGCCAAAGAAAUGAGAGAAGAGAAACAUGUCUUUAGAAAUUACAUAAAUAAUUAAACGAAUAGGGGAGUUCCCGUUGUGGCACAGCGGAAAUGAAUCUGACUAGGAACCGUGAAGUUGUGCAUUCAAUCCCUGGCCUUGCUCAGUGGUUUAAGGAUCCAGCGUUGCUGUGAGCUGUGGUGUAGUUUGCAGACAUGGCUCAGAUAUGGCAUUGCUGUGGCAUGUGCGAGCAGCUGUAGCUCCUAUAAGACCCCUAGCCUGGGAAUCUCCAUAUGCCAUGGGUGUGGCCCUAAAAAAAAAAAAAA
rnacentral:lncRNA from 1 species